rnacentral:rRNA from 1 species
ACGAACGCUGGCGGCAGGCCUAAAACAUGCAAGUCGAACGGGUGUAGUAAUACAUCAGUGGCGCACGGGUGAGUAACGCGUGGGAACAUGCUCCUUAGUACGGGACAACGUCGGGAAACUGACGCUAAUACCGUAUAAUAUCUCCGGAUCAAAGAUUUAUCGCUGAGGGAGUGGCCCGCGUCUGAUUAGCUAGUUGGUGAGGUAAAGGCUCACCAAGGCGACGAUCUUUAGCUGGUCUGAGAGGAUGAUCAGCCACACUGGGACUGAGACACGGCCCAGACUCCUACGGGAGGCAGCAGUGGGGAAUAUUGGACAAUGGGCGAAAGCCUGAUCCAGCAAUGCCGCGUGAGUGAUGAAGGCCUUAGGGUUGUAAAGCUCUUUUACCAGGGAUGAUAAUGACAGUACCUGGAGAAUAAGCUCCGGCUAACUCCGU